CAAAAAUCCUAGUCACCARAAUCCUCCGAAUAAUCACUUUUCAAAGAUUCUCAGACCUCGUGGCAGGUGGUGUCAAGGUCUGCGAUUCCAGGUUGGACCCAGCUGACGUCUGCAGAAACAGUGCCUGCUCUCAAACCUGCUGCUUCACCUCGCCCCAAGAUCAAGAAGAUCCACUUUCCAGGCUGAAGGCUUCCUGAACGACUUCUCUUGACAACUGACAGUGAUGCCUAAGAAGUGCAGAUUUCAGCUGAAACAUUUCUGUGGUUGCAGUAUUUAGCAGGUUCAUCUGGAUACGGAUUUGAGGGACAGAGGAGAGCGUGCCCUGCAGAUCGCUUACAGGAACCAUCAGGUAACAGUUACUGAAACAAAGGCUGAUCAUAACUGUAUGCGGGAGAUUUUUGCAAGCCAUAACCUCUUUUAAUCAUAUUUUGUCUUUUAAAAUCCAAAUGAGAGAACAUGCGCUUACCCCGACUGGAUCUUCCUCUGCAAGUGCUGUGAGAACUGCAGACUCGCAGCUGGAGCAGCGUGUGUUCACCUGCAGCCCCAUCUGCUGUAGAGGGGUAAGGCGAGUGCCCGUUCAGCGCCGCGCUCCUGCCUGA
rnacentral:lncRNA from 1 species